CCUCUCGUGGCCUAGCGGUAAUGCACUCUUUCUAGCAAAUUGGGAAUUGUGAGUUCGAUUCUCACCGAAAGUA
rnacentral:tRNA from 1 species